AUUGAACGCUGGCGGCAGGCCUAACACAUGCAAGUCGAACGAGUGGCGGACGGGUGAGUAAUGUAUGGGAAACUGCCCGAUGGAGGGGGAUAACUACGGGAAACGGUAGCAAAUACCGCAUACAAUCGGAUGGGCCCAGAUGGGAUUAGCUAGUAGGUGGGGUAAUGGCUCACAUAGGCGACGAUCCCUAGCUGGUCUGAGAGGCGGACCAGCCACACUGGAACUGAGACACGGUCCAGACUCCUACGGGAGGCAGCAGUGGGGAUUAUUUCACUAUGGGCGCAAGCCUGAUGCAGCCAUGCCGCGUGUAUGAAGAAGUCCUUCGGGUUGUAAAGUACUUUCAGCGAGGAGGCGUUACUCGCAGAAGAAGCACCGGCUAACUCCGUGCCAGCAGCCGCGGUAAUAC
rnacentral:rRNA from 1 species